UGGCGGCCGUAGCGCGGUGGUCCCACCUGACCCCAUGCCGAACUCAGAAGUGAAACGCCGUAGCGCCGAUGGUAGUGUGGGGUCUCCCCAUGCGAGAGUAGGG
rnacentral:rRNA from 9 species